GUAUUUUGAGCUGAAACUUCACAGACACAUUCAGGGGACACCUUAGACUUAUAUUACAUCUUUUAAAAACAUAAUCUAGGGCACCUUUAAGUAUUAUGACUUACUGAUGGAUUAUGUUCUAUGAGUGAUGUGUGUGUGCUAUUAUGUAGAAUUCACUGUUGUCAAAACUGUUUACAUGAAUGAAAAUAAUGUAAAUAAACAAAUGUACACUUAACUAGACAGACUUAAGUUAUCUAUUCUAUUUGUCUGUUAGUACUGUUAAUAAAACAAGGAACAUUUGUGUUGGAUAAAAAGUGAGUUAAAACAAAUCUUCAACUACCUCAACAUUUAAAUGUAGAUUUGAGCACAUAAAUCUCAGAGGAAACUUGAAUCUUGUCUGAUGUUACAGGGACAGAAAUGAAUACAGUAGUUUGUAGUUUAUUUUAAUUAUUGUAAUUUCAAACAGAGUUAUUACAGCACAUUUCUGAUUCUUGAUGUCUGUAUGUUUGCUGCAGAGGUUUUGUGUUGGAGCAGGACCUACAAGGAAAGGUGACGGCGGCAUUUGUGAACAAAAAAAAAGAAAAGAAAAAGAAAACCUGAAACAAAAAUGUAAAGAUGUGAAAUGUCCUCUGACUGGUGUGAACACUGAGGAUGGAGAGCCACAGCAGAUCCUGGGAAUGGUGGAGAGCCAUGGACGAGACCCUCCAUCACUCCACCUGCCCUUACUGUCUCAUCUGACCUGAUGUGGUCAUGACUAACCCGUUAUGCCUCCAAAUAGAAACUGUAUGGAAUGGAUGAUCCUGAUGGAGUAACCUGGAGUAAAGUGUCUUGAUCAAGGACACACUGGUGGAGACACUGCAGAAAUCGAACCAGCAACCUUCUGUUGACCAGCUCAGUGGUUUAGCACACCACACCACAAAAUCAUGCUGAUGGAGAACACAUGAAUGUUUGCAGCAGCCAGAUUGUCCCACACAUCUCGUUUCACUCUUACUUCAAGGUUGUGGGGUUCAGGGGUCCAUCAUCAUGGUCUUCCUCAUCCUCUGGAUCAACGAUGUCCCCAUUGAGAAGAGCAGCAGUGAGGGACAUGAUGGAUGAAGGUGUUCAUCAGCUGCAGAACUGGCACAGCUGUGUUGAGAUAGCAGCAGGACUAUAAAUACGUGAUUGUUAGAUCAAUAAAUUUGAAUAAAGCUUUGUUUUGUUGACUUGUA